GGCCCUAUCGUCUAUUGGUUAGGACGGCACUCUUUCAAGGUGCAAAGAGGGGUUCGAUUCCCCUUAGGGCCA
rfam:Microgenomates (Curtissbacteria) bacterium GW2011_GWC2_38_9 TT12_C0011, whole genome shotgun sequence.